rnacentral:rRNA from 1 species
AUAUAUUCAUGACUUUUUGAUCUCAAAUCAGGUAGGACUACCCGCUGAACUUAAGCAUAUCAAUAAGCGGAGGAAAAGAAACUAACAAGGAUUCCCCUAGUAACUGCGAGUGAAGCGGGAAGAGCUCAAAUUUAAAAUCUGGCAAUCCUUGUGGUUGUCCGAGUUGUAAUCUAGAGAAGUGCUAUCCGCGCUGGACCGUGUACAAGUCUCCUGGAAUGGAGCGUCACAGAGGGUGAGAAUCCCGUCUUUGACACGGACCCCCAGGGCUUAUGUGAUGUGCUCUCAAAGAGUCGAGUUGUUUGGGAAUGCAGCUCUAAAUGGGUGGUAAAUUCCAUCUAAAGCUAAAUAUUGGCGAGAGACCGAUAGCGAACAAGUACCGUGAGGGAAAGAUGAAAAGAACUUUGGAAAGAGAGUUAAACAGUACGUGAAAUUGUUGAAAGGGAAACGCUUGAAGUCAGUCGCGUUGGCCAGGGAUCAGCCUUGCUCUUUUGCUUGGUGCACUUCCUAGCUCAACGGGUCAGCAUCAAUUUUGACCGGUGGAUAAAGGUCAGGGGAAUGUGGCAUCCUUGGAUGUGUUAUAGCCCCUGGUUGCAUGCAUCGGUUGGGAUUGAGGAACUCAGCACGCCGCAAGGCCGGGUUUCUAAAACCACG